rnacentral:rRNA from 1 species
GACGUAGGGCGCGAGCGUUGUCCGGAAUUAUUGGGCGUAAAGAGCUCGUAGGCGGCUUGUUGCGUCGUCCGUGAAAACCUGUGGCUCAACUACAGGCUUGCGGUCGAUACGGGCAUCACUGGAGUUCGGCAGGGGAGACUGGAAUUCCUGGUGUAGCGGUGAAAUGCGCAGAUAUCAGGAGGAACACCGGUGGCGAAGGCGGGGUCUCUGGGCCGAUACUGACGCUGAGGAGCGAAAGCGUGGGGGAGCGAACAGG